UUUUAUUUUCUUUUCUUUUUUAGUUCAAUUGCCUUUUAAUUUCACAUUUCUGAUUUUAUUUUCUACUACUUAAUUUUAUUUCUAUUAUUUUCAUCAAUUGUUUUUAUUUCCUUGCUUUUUGAUUUUUCUUUAUUUUGCAAUUAUUUUCAUUUUAUUAGUAGUAUAAUUUGAUUAAUUUCAUUUUAAUUAUAUUUUUAUUUUGCAAUUUAAUUUCCAUUUUAUUUUUAGUGUAAUAAUUGGAGUAAAUGCAUUAUAAUUUGAUUUUAAUCUUCGUUGUUG
rnacentral:lncRNA from 1 species